UACGGAGGGUCCAAGCGUUAUCCGGAAUCAUUGGGUUUAAAGGGUCCGUAGGCGGCCUUAUAAGUCAGUGGUGAAAUCUCCCGGCUCAACCGGGAAAUGGCCAUUGAUACUGUAGGGCUUGAAUUACCAGGAAGUAACUAGAAUAUGUAGUGUAGCGGUGAAAUGCUUAGAUAUUACAUGGAAUACCGAUUGCGAAGGCAGGUUACUACUGGUGGAUUGACGCUGAUGGACGAAAGCGUGGGUAGCGAACAGG
rnacentral:rRNA from 1 species